rnacentral:rRNA from 1 species
UAGGGAAUCUUGCGCAAUGGGCGAAAGCCUGACGCAGCGACGCCGCGUGCGGGAUGACGGCCCUAGUGGUUGUAAACCGCUUUCAGCAGGGACGAAAAUGACGGUACCUGCAGAAGAAGUCCCGGCUAACUACGUGCCAGCAGCCGCGGUAAUACGUAGGGGACAAGCGUUGUCCGGAUUCAUUGGGCGUAAAGAGCUCGUAGGCGGUUCAGUAAGUUGGGUGUGAAAGCUCCGGGCUCAACCCGGAGAGGCCACUCAAUACUGCUGUGACUAGAGUCCAGUAGAGGAGCGUGGAACUCCUGGUGUAGCGGUGAAAUGCGCAGAUAUCAGGAAGAACACCGGCAGCGAAGGCGGCGCUCUGGGCUGGUACUGACGCUGAGGAGCGAAAGCAUGGGUAGCAAACAGG